UACAGAAGGAGCAAGUGUUAUUCGGAAUAAUUGGGCGUAAAGGGCGUGUAGGCUGUUGUUUGCUGUUGUUUGUGAAAAUCCAAAGCCCACCUUUGGCUGUGCAUUCAAAACGAAGCAACUUGAGUAUAAGAGGGGAAAAUAGAAUUUCUAGUGGAGAGGUUAAAUUCUUAGAGAUUAGAAGGAAUACCAAAAGCGAAGGCAAUUUUCUGGCUUAUUACUGACGCUGAGGCGCGAAAGCGCGGGGAGCAAACGGG
rnacentral:rRNA from 1 species